rnacentral:rRNA from 1 species
GACGAACGCUGGCGGCGUGCUUAACACAUGCAAGUCGAGCGCCCCGCAAGGGGAGCGGCGGACGGGUGAGUAACGCGUGGGAAUUUUCCUCAAGGUACGGAACAACCCAGGGAAACUUGGGCUAAUACCGUAUGAUGCAGAGAUGCCAAAGAUUUAUCGCCUUGGGAUAAGCCCGCGUCAGAUUAGGUAGUUGGUGGGGUAACGGCCUACCAAGCCUGCGAUCUGUAGCUGGUCUGAGAGGACGAUCAGCCACACUGGGACUGAGACACGGCCCAGACUCCUACGGGAGGCAGCAGUGGGGAAUCUUGCGCAAUGGGCGAAAGCCUGACGCAGCCAUGCCGCGUGAGUGAUGAAGGUCUUAGGAUUGUAAAGCUCUUUCGGGAGGGAAGAUGGAAUGGGGUAACCCAUUC